UUGAUCCUCCGCUGCCAAGAAAAGCUGCUAAGGAAUAUAGAGGUGCCCGUACCGCAAACCGACACAGGUAGACAGGUAGAGAAUACUAAGGCGCGCGAGAUAACUCUUGUUAAGGAACUCUGCAAAAUGAACCCGUAACUUCGGGAGAAGGGUUGCUCUCUAGCGUGAGUAUGAGCAAUACAGAGCGCAGGAGAGUCGCAGUGAAAAGGUCCAGGCGACUGUUUAGCAAAAACACAGGUCAUUGCAAAAUCGCAAGAUGAAGUAUAAUGGCUGACGCCUGCCCGGUGCUGGAAGGUUAAGGGGAAGAGUGCAAGCUUUGAACCGAAGCCCCAGUAAACGGCGGCCGUAACGAUAACGGUCCUAAGGUAGCGAAAUUCCUUGUCGGGUAAGUUCCGACCCGCACGAAAGGCGAAACGAUCUGGACGCUGUCUCAACAAGGGACUCGGUGAAAUUGAAAUUCCGGUAAAGAUGCCGGAUACCUGCGAUAGGACAGAAAGACCCCAUGGAGCUUUACUGUAGCCUGAUAUUGGGUUUCGGAUAUUCAUGUACAGGAUAGGUGGGAGACUAAGAAGCAUGGACGCCAGUUUGUGCGGAGUCACUGGUGGGAUACCACCCUUAAAUGUUUGGAAUUCUAACAAGGAGUCUUGAAGCAGAUUAUUGGACAGUGUCAGGUGGGCAGUUUGACUGGGGCGGUCGCCUCCCAAAAGGUAACGGAGGCGCUCAAAGGUUCCCUCAGAACGGAUGGAAAUCGUUCGCAGAGUGCAAAGGCAGAAGGGAGCUUGACUGCGAGAGCCACAACUCGAGCAGAUAGGAAACUAGGACUUAGUGAUCCGGCGGUCGCGAGUGGAAGUGCCGUCGCUCAACGGAUAAAAGCUACCCUGGGGAUAACAGGCUUAUCUCCCCCAAGAGUUCACAUCGACGGGGAGGUUUGGCACCUCGAUGUCGGCUCAUCGCAUCCUGGGGCUGAAGUAGGUCCCAAGGGUUGGGCUGUUCGCCCAUUAAAGCGGUACGCGAGCUGGGUUCAGAACGUCGUGAGACAGUUCGGUCCCUAUCCAUCGCGGGCGUAGGAAAUUUGAAGGGAGCUGACCCUAGUACGAGAGGACCGGGUUGGACAGACCGCUGGUGAACCAGUUGUUCUGCCAAGAGCAUAGCUGGGUAGCUAAGUCUGGAAAAGAUAAACGCUGAAAGCAUCUAAGCGUGAAGCGAACCUUAAGAUGAGAUUUCCCACAACGAAAGUUGAUAAGACACCAGAGAGAAUAACUGGUAGAUAGGUCAGGAGUGUAAGUGUGGUGACACAUUGAGCGGACUGAUACUAAUAAGUCGAAGACUUAGCC
rnacentral:rRNA from 1 species